AUUGAACGCUGGCGGCAUGCCUUACACAUGCAAGUCGAACGGCAGCACGGGUGCUUGCACCUGGUGGCGAGUGGCGAACGGGUGAGUAAUACAUCGGAACAUGUCCUGUAGUGGGGGAUAGCCCGGCGAAAGCCGGAUUAAUACCGCAUACGAUCUACGGAUGAAAGCGGGGGACCUUCGGGCCUCGCGCUAUAGGGUUGGCCGAUGGCUGAUUAGCUAGUUGGUGGGGUAAAGGCCUACCAAGGCGACGAUCAGUAGAUGGUCUGAGAGGGCGACCAGCCACACUGGGACUGAGACACGGCCCAGACUCCUACGGGAGGCAGCAGUGGGGAAUUUUGGACAAUGGGCGAAAGCCUGAUCCAGCAAUGCCGCGUGUGUGAAGAAGGCCUUCGGGUUGUAAAGCACUUUUGUCCGGAAAGAAAUCCUUGGCUCUAAUACAGUCGGGGGAUGACGGUACCGGAAGAAUAAGCACCGGCUAACUACGUG
rnacentral:rRNA from 1 species